rnacentral:rRNA from 2 species
ACUGCUCAGUAACACGUGGAUAACCUGCCCAAGGGUCUGGGAUAACCCCGGGAAACUGGGGAUAAUACCGGAUGGAUCACUAGUGCUGGAAUGCUUGGUGGUCGAAAGGCAACGCCUUUGGAUGGGUCUGCGGCGGAUUAGGUUGACGCCGGUGUAACGUACCGGCGUGCCUGUAAUCCGUACGGGUUGUGGGAGCAAGAGCCCGGAGAUGGAUUCUGAGACACGAAUCCAGGCCCUACGGGGCGCAGCAGGCGCGAAAACUCUACAAUGCAGGCAACUGCGAUAGGGGGACAUCGAGUGGCAUCCACCUUGGGUGCCUGUCCAACCGUCUAAAAAACGGUUGUUAGCAAGGGCCGGGUAAGACCGGUGCCAGCCGCCGCGGUAAUACCGGCGGCUCGAGUGGUGGCCGAUAUUAUUGAGUCUAAAGGGUCCGUAGCCGGCUUUGCAAGUCCCCUGGGAAAUCCAGCGGCUUAACCGUUGGGCUUUCAUGGGAUACUACAUUGCUUGGGACUGGGAGAGGUAGGAGGUACUCGGGGGGUAGGGGUGAAAUCCUGUAAUCCUCCGGGGACCACCGGUGGCGAAGGCGUCCUACCAGAACAGGUCCGACGGUGAGGGACGAAAGCUAGGGGCACGAACCGGAUUAGAUACCCGGGUAGUCCUAGCCGUAAACGAUGCCCGCUAGGUGUCACGACGGUCGUGAAUCGUCGUGGUGCCGUAGGGAAGCCGCGAAGCGGGCCACUUGGGAAGUACGGCCGCAAGGCUGAAACUUAAAGGAAUUGGCGGGGGAGCAC